AUGCACAGUUUUGACGGGUACGGGGAAUCAGGGUUCGAUUCCGGAGAGGGAGCCUGAGAAACGGCUACCACAUCCAAGGAAGGCAGCAGGCGCGMAAAUUACCCAAUCCGGUCAUCGGGAGGUAGCGACGAGAAAUACYAAACUUAGAAAAUUCUAGGUAUUGGAAUGGAGUCAAUAUAGUAACUUGACUGAGCAACUACUGGAGGGCAAGUCUGGUGCCAGCAGCCGCGGUAAUUCCAGCUCCAGUAGUGUAUAUCAAAAUUGUUGCGGUUAAAACGCUUGUAGUUGGAUGACAAAAAUUUGUGACACUUGAUACYUUUGAUAGUAGCUUGUGGAACAGAUUUUUUUAUUGCAAAUUCCUGCAGUUGCUUAACUGUCAACUGUAGGUCAUUUGCAAAGCGUGCCUUGAAUAAAGCAGAGUGCUCAAAUCAAGCGUAACGCUAGAAUGUAAUAGCAUGGAACGAACAGCCAGAUUUCUGGUUCAGUUGGUUGGUGACACCGGCAGUUGGUACUUUCAUUCGUACAUGUUGUCAGUGGUUAGGUAAUUGUGAAUUAAAAACUCCUCUACCUGAUCAUUAGAUGGCCUCUGUGUGUUUGGAAACCAAUUGUUAGGAUCUGAACCGGGUCAUGAUUAAAAGGGGCAUUUGAGGGCGUUAGUAUUUGGUGGCGAGAGGUGAAAUUGAGUAACCCACCAAGGACUAGCUAAUGCGAAGGCGUUCGCCAAGAAUGUUUUCAUUAAUCAAGAACGAAAGUUGGAGUUCGAAGACGAUCAGA
rnacentral:rRNA from 1 species